rnacentral:rRNA from 1 species
AUUGAACGCUGGCGGCAGGCCUAACACAUGCAAGUCGAACGCGAAAGUCCUUCGGGAUGAGCAGAGUGGCGGACGGGUGAGUAACGCGUAGGAAUCUGUCCUGUAGUGGGGGAUAACUCGGGGAAACUCGAGCUAAUACCGCAUACGCCCUAUGGGGAAAGCGGGGGAUCUUCGGACCUCGCGCUAUCGGAGGAGCCUGCGUCGGAUUAGCUAGUUGGUAGGGUAAAGGCCUACCAAGGCGACGAUCCGUAGCUGGUCUGAGAGGAUGAUCAGCCACACCGGAACUGAGACACGGGCCGGACUCCUACGGGAGGCAGCAGUGGGGAAUAUUGCGCAAUGGGCGAAAGCCUGACGCAGCCAUGCCGCGUGUGUGAAGAAGGCCUUCGGGUUGUAAAGCACUUUCAGAGGGGAGGAAAGGGCGCUGGCUAAUAUCCAGCGCAGUUGACGCUACCCUCAGAAGAAGCACCGGCUAAUUCCGUGCCAGCCGCCGCAGUAAAAC